GACAGAGGCCUCAAGCGUUAGGCGGAAUUACUGGGCGUAAAGAGUGUGUAGGCGGUACUCUAAGUUUGGUGUGAAAUCUCCCGGCUCAACUGGGAGGGUGCAUCGAAAACUGGAGUGCUCGAGGGUGGGAGAGGUAAGCGGAAUUCCUGGUGUAGCGGUGAAAUGCGUAGAUAUCAGGAGGAACACCUGUGGUGUAGACAGCUUACUGGACCACUUCUGACGCUGAGACACGAAAGCGUGGGUAGCAAACAGG
rnacentral:rRNA from 1 species